AAGUAAGCUCUUACAUUCUCAAUUAAUAAAUUUAUUUUAAAAUGCAUUAUUUACAGGUACUCUAAAUACUAGUAAUAUGGCCUUAAGGAGAGCUGGAUGGGUCAAUCAGAACUGGCUACAAGAGGCUGUGAAGCACCCAGUGCCAAUAGAUUUGUGCAGCAGACUUUCAUCCCUUGGACAAUUUAUCCUCCCCAGAAAUAUUGGGAAGCAGUAUUUGCAAGUACUUGGAAGCAGUGUGCCAUAAAGAUACUUCCAAGGCAUAAAAUAUUCUGGAUGCAUUCUUAUUCCUGUUACUGUUUUGAAGAGGCCAAAAAUGACAGAUCAGUUUUCUGAGCAUGUGUUAAAUGUCAGCAGCAACACUAAGCAAUAACCUUGUGGUGAGUAUCCAGCUGCUGAAGGAGAGGGGCAACUGGAAUCCUGCUUGGUUCAGCGAUGGGAACUCUUGCCAGCUGAGAGUGACUGGAACUCUUCCUGGAUUGAGAUGAGGGAAGAGAAUGAGCAGCAGAAAAGGCCUGUUGUCCACCACAUUUUGGAAUCUUUUUUUCGGUACAGUGAGAGAAGUGGCCUAGUUCAUUUAAACAAGAGACAGUAUAAUCUCCCCUAGGUAUCCUACAAGAUGCUGAAUGAUAAUUUGCAUGUGAUUGCUCCUA